GGGCUCAAAAUUUUUUCCGAUUGGAAAAAAUGGGCGCUUUUUGUUUUGUAUAGCCCUAGGCUAGGUGUUCUCAUUCUUCCCUUCAGAGACGACCACUCACCACUCCACUCUCGCAACCCCGCAGCCGCAGCCUCGCAGCCUUUGGAGCCCCAAUUGUAGUCUGCAGCACCCACUGCAGUCUGCAGCACAUCUCAAAGACUCAAACCUUUUCACCCUCGAGCACUCGCUGGCUUCACCGUCGACAGCCGUCACAGCCCACAGUGAUUCCGAGACUUGGAGUGUUGGAGACCAAACAAGAAGAAAAAAAAUGACGAGAUUAUUCAGAUGUCACAGUUGAUCACUUGUCGUCGGGGUGUGACCAAUGCUCCUCCCGCAUUUUCAGCACCUACUACUUCAGCUGUGAGUGCUCCAUUGAUUGGGGAGCCUACACCCCUUACUGAAGCUACUCCUAAGGCAUCCCAGGUGCCCGCAUCAUUGACGUCAUUAGUGUCAGUUCAGCAGCUCAGUGCGGCCCAGGAAGCAGCCCAGGAUGCUCGGAAAGCCUAGAUUGCAGCCCAGUUUUCAGCCCAGGACAAGAAGAUGAGCAUGAUCUUACGAGCCUUACAGAUGUCCAACCUCCAAAUCCCGAUGCCAACACCUGAUCUUGCUCCACCUUCGACCUUCUAGCCACUUCGCCCAGCCUAUACCCAGUAGCCUAAUGUAUCAAACCUAGAAGACUAGUUGUUGUAGUUUUUUAUUUUUUUGUUCGGACAUCUUGUAUGUACAUUUUCAUAUAUUUUAUAAUUAAAUACUUUUUCUUGGUUUA